ensembl:lncRNA
CCUGGCGCUGCCUCCCGGCCGCUCCGGCGGUCCCGCGCCGCGCGCCCGAUCACCACGGGGUGUUUUGGGGUUGUUUGUUUUUUUUUUUAGAAAGCCCAGAAGCGAAGCGUCCCUUCCUCCAGUCACGACUUGGAAAUCCGUGCAGUUUCCAACCAAAAUUACACCGCCACCAUUGAAUUAUUUAAUAGGAUCCAGUUAAGGAGCCACCGCUUCCGAGUUCCGACGAUUGGCUGCACGUGCUGCAAGGGCUUUUUUUCCUUUAAACCCCGACCAAACAAACCGGGGACGGGUCCGUUUGUAAAUACGACCACGCGCGCUCGGGAAAGGGACGCUUCGGUUCCUACAUUCGGGGCGUCCGUGGGCGGAGUGCCGCGGUGCGGCUCCGCGGGGCUCGGCGCGAGGAGCGGCGCUUUGUGU